UGAGUGCGAGUUGCUACGGCAACGAAGUUGGUGACGUCAAGCUUCCAAGAAAAGCCCUAUACCCGUUAAGGCAUCAUGGCCUGUACCCGAAACCGACACAGGUGGGGUGGUAGAGAAUACCGAGGGGCGCGAGGUAACUCUCUCUAAGGAACUCGGCAAAAUGGCCCCGUAACUUCGGGAGAAGGGGUGCCACCGCAAGGUGGUCGCAGUGAAGAGGCCCAGGCGACUGUUUACCAAAAACACAGGUCUCCGCUAAGUCGCAAGACGAUGUAUGGGGGCUGACGCCUGCCCAGUGCCGGAAGGUUAAGGAAGCCGGUUAGCGUAAGCGAAGCUGGCGACUGAAGCCCCGGUGAACGGCGGCCGUAACCAUAACGGUCCUAAGGUAACGAAAUUCCUUGUCGGGUAAGUUCCGACCCGCACGAAAGGCGUAACGAUCUGGGCGCUGUCUCGGAGAGAGGCUCGGCGAAAUAGGAUUGUCUGUGAAGAUGCGGACUACGUGCACCCGGACAGAAAGACCCUAUGAAGCUUUACUGUAGCUUGGUAUUGUGCUCGGGCUCGGAAUGCGCAGGAUAGGUGGGAGGCUAUGAACCAUUGCUUGUGGGUGAUGGUGAGCCACUGGUGAGAUACCACUCUUUCCGAGCUAGAGUUCUAACGGCCACCCGUUAUCCGGGGGCCGGACAGUAUCAGGUGGGCAGUUUGACUGGGGCGGUCGCCUCCUAAAAGGUAACGGAGGCGCGCAAAGGUUUGCUCAGGCUGGUUGGAAAUCAGCCGACGAGUGUAAAAGCAGAAGCAAGCUUGACUGUGAGACCUACAAGUCGAACAGGGAGGAAACUCGGCUUUAGUGAUCCGACGGUUCUGCGUGGAAGGGCCGUCGCUCAACGGAUAAAAGUUACUCUAAGGAUAACAGGCUGAUCUCCCCCAAGAGUUCACAUCGACGGGGAGGUUUGGCACCUCGAUGUCGGCUCAUCGCAACCUGGGGCUGAAGUCGGUCCCAAGGGUUGGGCUGUUCGCCCAUUAAGGCGGUACGCGAGCUGGGUUCAGAACGUCGUGAGACAGUUCGGUCCAUAUCCGGUGCAUGCGCAGGAAUAUUGAGAGGAUUUCUCCCUAGUACGAGAGGACCGGGAGGAACGCACCUCUGGUGUACCAGUUAUCGUGCCAACGGUAAACGCUGGGUAGCCAUGUGCGGAGAGGAUAACCGCUGAAAGCAUCUAAGUGGGAAGCCCACCUCAAGAUGAGUAUUCCCAUGGCGUUAGCCAGUAAGGUCACGGGAAGAACACCCGUUGAUAGGCUCUAUGUGGAAGCGCAGUAAUGCGUGAAGCAGAGGAGUACUAAUAGACCGAGGGCUUGACC
rnacentral:rRNA from 1 species